CCCUUAGACGUUCUGGGCCGCACGCGCGCUACACUGACGAAGGCAACGAGCUUUCCUUUACCGAAAGGUACGGGUAAUCUUUUGAAACUUCGUCGUGCUGGGGAUAGAUCCUUGCAAUUUUUGAUCUUAAACGAGGAAUGCCUAGUAAGCACAAGUCAUCAGCUUGUGUUGAUUACGUCCCUGCCCUUUGUACACACCGCCCGUCGCUCCUACCGAUUGAAUGUUCCGGUGAGCUCUUCGGACUGCGCGGUCUGCAGUUUCUGCGUUCCGUGCGGAAAGUUGCGCAAACCUUAACAUUUAGAGGAAGGAGAAGUCGUAACA
rnacentral:rRNA from 1 species